rnacentral:rRNA from 1 species
GAGCUUGCUCUUAUGAAGUUAGCGGCGGACGGGUGAGUAACACGUGGGUAACCUACCCAUAAGACUGGGAUAACUCCGGGAAACCGGGGCUAAUACCGGAUAAUAUUUUGAACUGCAUAGUUCGAAAUUGAAAGGCGGCUUCGGCUGUCACUUAUGGAUGGACCCGCGUCGCAUUAGCUAGUUGGUGAGGUAACGGCUCACCAAGGCGACGAUGCGUAGCCGACCUGAGAGGGUGAUCGGCCACACUGGGACUGAGACACGGCCCAGACUCCUACGGGAGGCAGCAGUAGGGAAUCUUCCGCAAUGGACGAAAGUCUGACGGAGCAACGCCGCGUGAGUGAUGAAGGCUUUCGGGUCGUAAAACUCUGUUGUUAGGGAAGAACAAGUGCUAGUUGAAUAAGCUGGCACCUUGACGGUACCUAACCAGAAAGCCACGGCUAACUACGUGCCAGCAGCCGCGGU